GUGCCAGCCGCCGCGGUACUACGGAGGGGGUUAGCGUUGUUCGGAAUUACUGGGCGUAAAGCGCACGUAGGCGGAUCAGAAAGUUGGGGGUGAAAUCCCAGGGCUCAACCACGGAACUGCCCUUGAUACUGGGUGUCUUGAGUUCGAGAGAGGUGAGUGGAAUUCCGAGUGUAGAGGUGAAAUUCGUAGAUAUUCGGAGGAACACCAGUGGCGAAGGCGGCUCACUGGCUCGAUACUGACGCUGAGGUGCGAAAGUGUGGGGAGCAAACAGGAUUAGAUACCCUGGUAGUCC
rnacentral:rRNA from 1 species